GAGUGGUUUUCAAAUCCAGAAGCAGAAGAAGUUGGAGAAAGUGUUCCAGGAACUUCUGUUUCAGCACGUCCCCAGUGGUAUGGGCUGCAGAGAGAAAGGCUCUGUGCUCCCGGGAAGAAUCAGGCGUGACGCCGUCCCUUCCCGCUCUUCAGUGCUGCAGCAACGCCAAGAAGGCAUCGAUGUUUCCUUUAGGAGAGUGCGGAGCGACAUUUUUCCAAGGACCGACCCUGCCAGAAGAAGCCCAGGCACUGCUGCUAGUGCCACAGGGGACGUCCACGUUCCUCCCGAUGAGGCUUGGCCACCCCGGGAGCCAUCUCUGCUGGUCUUGAUGAAAGCCUGCCUUCCUUCAUGUUCUGUAAGCCAGCUGGGGUAAAGAAUGGGGUGAGCCUGGCUCCCUAAAGAUGACCAGAGAUCGGGAUAACCACUGGGAUUGGCACCUGGGCAGCUGCCCCACUGUGUGAGCUCCUGACGGUGACAGGAAGGCAUGGAUUGAGGACAUCAUGUUUAGAGGAAGGACAUUGUCAUCAAAUUGACAAGCACACACGGUGUCGUAGCUAACACUUGAGUCAUUGAUGAUCCAACCUGUGAUGUGAAUUCUCUGACAUUUUCUACUUGUGACAUGGUACCACUGCUGUAAAAGUUGCCAUAAACAGAUUAUAUUACUGAAUCACCUAAAUAAAUUGUUGACUGUAUUUGGUUAAUAAAAUUGA
rnacentral:lncRNA from 1 species